rnacentral:rRNA from 1 species
GUCCGCACUGUAAACGAUGAUUACUCGCUGCUAGGGGGCAACUCUUAGUGGCUUAGCGAAAGCGAUAAGUAAUCCACCUGGGGAGUACGCCGGCAACGGUGAAACUCAAAGGAAUUGACGGGGGCCCGCACAAGCGGAGGAGCAUGUGGUUUAAUUCGAUGAUACGCGAGGAACCUUACCAGGGCUUGAAAGUUAGUGACCGUCUCUGAAAGGAGACUUUCCGCAAGGACACGAAACUAGGUGCUGCAUGGCUGUCGU